rnacentral:rRNA from 1 species
UACGGGGGGGGUAAGCGUUGUUCGGAAUUACUGGGCGUAAAGGGCUCGUAGGCGGCCAACUAAGUCAGACGUGAAAUCCCCAGGCUCAACCUGGGAACUGCGUCUGAUACUGGAUGGCUUGAAUUCGGGAGAGGGAUGCAGAAUUCCAGGUGUAGCGGUGAAAUGCGUAGAUAUUGGGAAGAACACCGGUGGCGAAAGCGCUCUGCUGGACCUGCACUGACACUGAGGGACGAAAGCUAGGGGAGCGAAAGGG